rnacentral:sRNA from 1 species
GCUGGGUGUGGUGGUGCACACCUGUAAUCCCAGUGGCUUUGGAGGAUGAGAUGGGAGGAUCGUGAGUUCAAAGCCAGCCUCAGCAAUGGUGAGGCAUUUAGCAUGUCAGUGAGACCCUGUCUUUA